rnacentral:rRNA from 1 species
AACGAACGCUGGCGGCAUGCCUAACACAUGCCAGUCGAACGAGACCUUCGGGUCUAGUGACGCACGGGUGCGUAACGCGUGGGAACCUGCCCUUAGGUUCGGAAUAACUCCCCGAAAGGGGUGCUAAUACCGGAUAAUGUCUUCGGACCAAAGAUUUAUCGCCUUUGGAUGGGCCCGCGUUGGAUUAGCUAGUUGGUAGGGUAAAAGCCUACCAAGGCGACGAUCCAUAGCUGGUCUGAGAGGAUGAUCAGCCACACUGGGACUGAGACACGGCCCAGACUCCUACGGGAGGCAGCAGUGGGGAAUAUUGGACAAUGGGCGAAAGCCUGAUCCAGCAAUGCCGCGUGAGUGAUGAAGGCCUUAGGGUUGUAAAGCUCUUUUACCCGGGAUGAUAAUGACAGUACCGGGAGAAUAAGCGCCGGCUAACUCCGUG